rnacentral:rRNA from 1 species
AGUUGUAAUUUGCAGAGGGUGCUUUGGUGGUAGUUGCGGUCUAAGUUCUUUGGAACAGGACGUCACAGAGGGUGAGAAUCCCGUAUGUGGUCGCUACUUAUCACCGUGAUAAAGCCCCUUCGACGAGUCGAGUUGUUUGGGAAUGCAGCUCUAAAUGGGAGGUAAAUUUCUUCUAAAGCUAAAUACUGGCCAGAGACCGAUAGCGCACAAGUAGAGUGAUCGAAAGAUGAAAAGCACUUUGGAAAGAGAGUCAAAUAGCACGUGAAAUUGUUGAAAGGGAAGCGCUUGCAGCCAGACUUGCCUGUAGUUGCUUACCUAGACUUUUGUCUGGGGUACUCUUCUGCAGGCAGGCCAGCAUCAGUUUGGGCGGUUGGAUAAAGGUCUCUGUCACGUACCUCCUUUCGGGGAGGCCUUAUAGGGGAGACGUCAUACAACCAGCCUGGACUGAGGUCCGCGCAUCUGCUAGGAUGCUGGCGUAAUG